UUGUUAUGAAUAUUAUUGAUAAUGUGUUGAGACAGGUAAUUAAAGAAACCACUACUGCCUUUGCUACUUGGGAGAAAUUGAAGGCACUCUAUGAAAAGAAAGACCUACCAAAUAAGAUGUCCAUAUGGAGAAGCUAGGGGUGUAAAAAUAUGGGUUGAACCCUAACCCAGACUACUCCAUCCAUAUUAUAAGGGUUAGGCUGGGUUAUGUUAAAAUAUGGAUUGGGUUGAGUUAAAAAAAUAGAAUUUUUUCGGGUUGGGUUGGGUCUUGGAUUGUGGGUGAAUAAUUCGGUUCAACCCAACCCAACCCGAAUUAAUAAUAUAUAUAUAAUAAUAAUAAAAGGAAAUUAGAUUAGGUUUUCUCCCACACAAUUCACACGCUCUCCCUCUCACGCGAUUCAUGUGAAAAUCUUCUCCUCACUUCUCACGCCAUCACGUGAUUCACCUCCGACUUUCCCUUGCGCACUGCAACAUAUCUGACGUCUCCUUUAUCUCUGCUCCCUCUUGUUGGAUCGGUAUGGCAACCCUAGAGGGGGUGAAUAGAGUUUAAAUAAACUUUUUGACAAAUAAAAAGUAAAGUCAACUAAUUAGAUACUUUUUAAAUUUAAAUAAAGAACUUUGUAAACUUUGUUAAAUAACAAGAUUGAUAAAAAUAUAUGAAUGGAAGUAUGCAAUCAAACUCAACCAAUAAGAGUAUGUAACUAAAAUUAAAUUAAAAAAUAAUUAGAAAAGAGUUAGAGAAGAAGACACCGUAAUUUUAUAGUGGUUCGGUUAAACUCAACCUACAUCCACUUUCGCAAGCACCUCUUGGGAUUUUGAUUGAAAAUCUCUUUGGACUCUUUCCACGGAUUUGAGCCGAACCGAUUCUUGCUCCUUUUUCGGGUUCAAGAGUAAACUCGGUCCUUUCCACGGGUUAGGAUCCAACCGUUACAAUAUGUUGAAGUUUUUAAAUCACACAAAAGAAAAACUCUCUAAAAGAGUGAGUCUACAAAUUUUAAUCCUCACAAUACAAUAAGAAGCUCUCAAGAAUAAGAUGAAAAGAAUAAAAAUUGGAAGCUUUAGAGAGAAUAACAAUGUUGGCUUUUUGCACUUUUUGAAGAUUGUAAAGAUUUGAAUGAUCUUGUGUAAAUGUGAAGUAUUUAAAAAUAGAGGAAAGAUAAAUUCAAAAUCAUUUGGGUCAUUAGAUAUAAGUAAAAGAAAAAUGAAUUGUUGAGAUUUAAACUUAAUUAGCCGU
rnacentral:lncRNA from 1 species